rnacentral:rRNA from 1 species
AUUCUAGGUUAAGCAAGAUCACCUAUUGAGUUUAAGCAUAUCAAUAAAUGAAGAAAAAGAAACUUACCAAGAUUCCCUUAGUAAUGGUGAAUGAAUCGAAAUGUGACUAGCUUGAGAGUCGAGUGCCUUCAGAGUUUGAAUUACAGUCUAGAGAAGCAUCCUUAGUGGUGGACCAGGCCCAAGUCCUCUGGAAAUAGGUGUUGGAAAGGAUAAGAACCCUAUUAUGCCUGGACCUUGUCACACUACAAGCACUAUCUACGAGUCAAGUUGUUUGGGAAUGCUACCCCAAUUGGGCUAUAAAUUUCAUCCAAGGCUCAAUACAGGUGAGAGACUAAUAGUAAACAAGUACUGCAAGGGAAAGAUAAAAUGGACAUUGAAAAGAAAGUCAAAGAGUGCUUGAAAUUAUCAAAAGGGUAGCAAAUGGGGGCUAGUGAUGCACCCUGAUCAGAUGUGGAAUGAUGAAAGUUGAUUCACAAAAUAGUGAGAGUCAGUCCUUAGAUUGGCUCAGAGGAUGGAUCAAGGUGGGUUGCAGUUGUAGCCCAAGCCUAGGCUUUUGAAAUGCCUACAAAGACAUUGUCACCACAAUCGUGGAAUGUAGCACACGCUGUCUUGACUUGCCUCGACAAAGGCAUGCUUUUAGCAUUGACUUGCAAGCUCUCUAUUCAACCCAUCUUGAAAGAUGGACCAAAGAGUCUGACAUGUGUAUGAGUCAAUGAAUUAAAAAACCUAUCAAACGUAAAGAAGCUAAUGGGUAAGAUCCCUCGCAGGUGCACCACUGAUCGACCUUGAUCUUCUAAAAAGGGUUCGAGAGUAAGCAUGCCUACUAGGACCCAAAAGAUGGUGAACCAUGCCUAAAUGGGGUAAAGUAAGAGAAAACUCUAGUAGAGGCUCACAAUGAUACCGGCAUGCAGAUCAUUCAUCUAAUUUAGGUAUAAUGCUGAAAAACUAAUCGAACCAUCUAGUAGUUGGUUCCAUUUGAAAUUUCCUUCAAGAGUUGAAGCCUUUAAUGAGUUAUGUUGGGUAAAGCCAAUGAUUAGAGGCAUCGACGGUGUAACACCCUCAACAUAUUCUCAAUCUUUAAAUAGGUAGGACAACAUUACUACUUCAUUGAGCCAUGCCAUGGAAUUGAGAGCUCCAAGUGGGCCAUUUUUUGUAAGUAAAAUUGGUGAUAUAAGAUGUACUAGAAACCAGGUUAUGGUACUUAACUGCAUGCUAACCUAGAACCCACCAAACGUGUUGGUCGAUUAAGACAGCAGGAUGGUGAUCAUGGAAGUCAAAAUCUACUAAGGAGUGUGUAACAGCUCAAUUGCCAAAUCAGCUAGCAACAAAAAUGGAUGGUGCUUAAGUGCAUGACCUAUACCCAGUUGUUCGGUCAAGAGCCAGGCUUUGAUGAGUAGAAGGGCACAGUGGUUAUCCCAAAACUUGGGGAACAAACCCAGGUGGAGUAGCCAUCGAUACAGAUCUUAAUAGUAAUAGCAAAUAUUCAAAUAAGAACUUUGAAGGCCAAAAAGAGGAAAGGUUCCAUGUGAAUGGCAUUUACACAUGGGUUAGUCGAUCCUAAUAGAGGGAGGAAACCCAUCUGAUAGCAUGUCUAGCACGAGCUUUAAAAGGGAAUUGGGUUAAAAUUCUUGAACUAAGACACAACAAUUGAUAGCAACAUUAAGUAGUCUAGAGAUGUCAGUGAGGGCCUCAGGAAGAGUUAUCUUUUCUAUUUAAUAGCCUGCCUUCCUUGGAAAUGGCUCAACUGAAAGUAAGGUCCAAUGGGCCAAAGAGAGUUGUACAUCACAUGAUGUCCUGUGCAUCCUUAUGGCCCUUGAAAAUGUAAAAGAUCGAGUCCUAUGUGUGGUUGAUCAUACUCAUAAUUGCAUCAGGUCUCCAAGGUGAAUAGCCUCUAGAUGGCGGAACAAUGUAGGCAAGGGAAGUUGGCAAAAUGGAUCCAUAACCUUAGGAAAAGGAUUGGCUCUGAGGGUUGGGGAUGGGAGUCUCAAUCUUGAACAUAUUGGCUACAGGUGCACUGCUUGAGCUACUCCUAUGACAAGAGCAUGUCAUCAUAUGUCAGCCAAGGGAUAGUCUAGGAACAGCUCCCUCAAGUGCUUUCCUCGGGUGAUGAACAAUCAACUUAAAAUUGGUACGGAUAAGGGGACUUUGAUUAUUUAAUUAAAACAAAGUAUUAUGAAGAUCCCUAUUGAUGCUCACACAAUAUGAUUUCUGCCUAAUGCUCUAAAUAUCAAAAUGAAGAAAUUCAACAAAGCAUAAAUAAGCAAUGGGAGAAACUAUAACUCUCUUAAGGUAGCUAAAUGCCUCAUCAUCUAAUUAGUGAUAUGUAUGAAUGCAUUAACGAGAUUCCCACUAUCCUUGUAUACUAUCCAACAAAACCAUAGCCAAGAAAAUGGGCUUAGUAGAAAUAGUGGGGAAAGAAGACCUUGUUAAUCUUGACUCUAGUCCAACUUUGUGAAAUAACUUGAGAGAUCUUGAGAGAUGUAGGAUAAGUGGAAGCCUUCAGGAAAAAUUGAAAUACCAUUACUUUUAAUGUUGUUUUACUUAUUCUGUGAAUCAGAGGUAGGGCACAACCUCUUCUUUUGGACCUAAAGCCAACCUCGAUCAUUGAUAUAAGCAAAAGAUAUUAUUAAGUGGGGAGUUUGGCUAGGGUAGCACAUCUGUUAAAAGAUAAUAUGGGUGUCCUAGGAUGAGCUCAAUGAGAAUAAAAAUCUCAUGUGGAACAAAAGGGUAAAAGCUCAUUUGAUUCUGAUUUCUAGUAUAAUAUGAACUAUGAAAGUGUGGCCUAUCAAUCUUUUAGACCGUCAAAAUUUAAAGCUAAUGGUGUCAAAAUAGUUACCACAAGGAUAACUCACUUGUGCUAGCAAAGUAUUCAUAGCGAUGUUGCCUUUUUAUCUUUCGAUGUUAGAUCUUCUUAUCAUUAUGAAUCAUAAUUCACCAAGUGUUGAAUUGUUGACCAACCAAUAAAGAACAUGAGCUGGGUUUAAACCAUCGUGAGAUGGUUCAUUUUACCCUACUGAUGGUAGCAUCACAAUAGUAAUUCAACCUUGUAAGAGAAGAACUGUUAAUUAGCACAAUUGGUCAUCGCGCUUGGUUGAAAAGCUAGUGGCAUGAAGCUACCAUGCAAUGGAUUAUGACUCAAUGCCUCUAAAUUACUAUGACCAUCACCUAGUUGCUGACCUAUAGUAGGGGCCCAUGGCCCCCAAAGGCAUGUGUUAGAUAUGCAACCCCACAGUGAACAAGCCUUAUUAACCUCCUUGGAGCUAAAUUCCCACCAAAUAAUGGGUAGAAUCCUUUGUCG